rnacentral:rRNA from 1 species
AUCCAGCAAUGCCGCGUGAGUGAAGAAGGCCUUCGGGUUGUAAAGCUCUUUCAGUCGAGAAGAAAAGGUUGUGACUAAUAAUCAUAACUCAUGACGGUAUCGACAGAAGAAGCACCGGCUAACUACGUGCCAGCAGCCGCGGUAAUACGUAGGGUGCGAGCGUUAAUCGGAAUUACUGGGCGUAAAGGGUGCGCAGGCGGUUCUGUAAGUCAGAUGUGAAAUCCCCGGGCUUAACCUGGGAACUGCGUUUGAAACUACAGGACUAGAGUGUGGCAGAGGGGGGUGGAAUUCCAUGUGUAGCAGUGAAAUGCGUAGAGAUAUGGAAGAACAUCGAUGGCGAAGGCAGCCCCCUGGGUUAACACUGACGCUCAUGCACGAAAGCGUGGGGAGCAAACAGGAUUAGAUACCCUGGUAGUCCACGCCCUAAACUAUGUCAACUAGUUGUCGGGUCUUAUUAGACUUGGUAACGUAGCUAACGCGUGAAGUUGACCGCCU